rnacentral:lncRNA from 1 species
UUCAAAUCUGAAACUAUAUUUUCAGAUCUGAAAAAAAAUUAAAAAAAUACAGACAUAAAACACACACACACAACGCACACAUAUACAAAACACACACACACAUACACACACACACACACACACAUACAUUUCACCCACAGACCCACAUACAAAAUCACAAGAGAUCCAAGGAUCUAAAAAUCACAAGGGAAAUAUACAAAGAAAAAAAAUCACAAGACAAAUCUAAAGACCCACAUACGAAAUCACAAGAGACGGAUCUAAAGGAAAAAAAACACAAGAAAGAAAGAGAGGUAGUGAGAGAGAGAAUAUUUCACACACAAAUACAAAACACACACACAGACCCACAUAUCUAUAGAUAUAUGAUAAAGUGAUUUGUUGGGAGGUUUGACGGCAGAACCCUAGGCGACGGUUGUGAUCGGUGGUGGGUUGAGUCGAUAAUGGCGGUGGUGUGAAAAAAAGGGAGGAGGGUGGCGGCGCUGGUGUAAAUCUCGAAGGAGAACGGCGGCCCUGGUGUAAAUCUCGAAGGAGAACGGCGGCCCUGGUGUAGAUUU